CGGGGACCGAGGCAGAGGAGGAGCGCGGCAGCGGCGGAGGCGAUCCCGCGAAUUCCUUCCAGUAAACACCUCCUGGGGGUGUCCGGAGGGCUGGGGGUGGGCGCCGCGGCGCCUACAUUAGCCCGGCCGGGCUGCGCCCAGGCGGCAGUCGGGUCGGAGCCGCCGCCGGACUCAGCGCCCCGCGCGCCCCGCGCUGCGCCCCGCGCCCGGCUCUGCGCGAUCGGCUCCCCGGCGUCGGAGGCGCGCCCGCCCGCCCGCUCGGCUCUCCGGCCGCCCUCCCCCGGGCUCCUCCGUCUCCGAGGAGCCCCGGGCGCUGCGGGGCCGCUCUCCGCCGCGGUGCCCCGCUCCCCCGCCUGCUUGCGGGGCGCGUGGGCUCGGCGGAGGUGGAGAGGGGGAGGCAGGCGGGGAGAAGAGGCGGGGGCCGCGGCGGCCGGAGCCCAGAGGAAAGUGGCAUGCCCGAGCCCUGGAGGCGGAGGUGGCGGAGGCGGCCGCGGGGAGACGAUGCCGCGGCUCCGUAGGGGAGGAAGGCGAGAGCGAGCCAGGCGAGCCGGGCGCCCGGGCGCCCGCCGGCUGCGGGGAGACGCGUGUCGCUCCGAGGGUCCGGCCUCCGCACCCCCGCGCCCCGACGCUGCGGGCGACAGGGCCGGGCUCCGGCAGCCGCCGCCGUCGCCGCCGCCGCCGCCGCCACCUGGAGGACGGAGCAAAAGUUUGGAUUUGGGGAAGGACGCGGCGCCGAGCGGAAUUCCUACCGGGGCCGCCAGGAGACCUCCAAAACCUUCGCAGUUGUUUGGAUUUGUCCCAAAGUAUUUGCGGCUAAAAUUCCUUUUGGACUCUGAGCUGACUUUUUUUACAUAAGCUUUGGAUUGGAAUCAAUAGAAUGUCAAGACGCCAGGCACAUUCAGCCUAAUAGCAGGUGGGUGUCUGCCGGACAGUGUGCCUGAUUUGCCUGACAGUAGCAAAUUUAGGCCAGAAUUAAUGAGCCAGUGAAGAUGCUGUUUGUGUUGCAGGAUUUUUGCAGAGUUUUCACAAGUAGUUGUGUUUUCUCCUUCUAAUGCGGCUGUGUUUGCUCAAG
rnacentral:lncRNA from 1 species